ensembl:lncRNA
GUCAUGUUUGCACUUUGUUCGGGUUCUUUGCAUGUCUAACUCUUUGCUUUGACACACUCUGUCCUUGAGGUGUUGGCUGUUUUCCAUCUCGGUCACGUUUGGACUUAAUGCUGGUCACUUGUCUGUGUCAUUCAUGGCUUUGACAUAAAUUGAAGACAUGGGACUUUGAUCGUUUGCUGAUGUAGCAGUUUUGUUUCUUUCUUUUACAUGCCGAGAGACUGAGAUGUGCAGUGGACGAUUAAAGACACCGUCGUUGCCAUCCAUAGAGGUGUUGGCUGUUUUCCAUCUGGGUCACGUUUGGACUUUAUCUUGGUCACUUGUAUGUGUCAUUCAUGGCUUUGAUAUAAAUUGAAGACAUGGGACUUUG